rnacentral:lncRNA from 1 species
GUUGACAUUUUGAAUCUAUUUAAAAUAUCCAUUCAAUCAACGAUUACUUCAUUUGUUGCCCAUCCUCUAAAUGGGAGGGUGUUGCUCUUCCCAGGUACUUUACAGGAUACUUUAUUUAAUUUUUUAUUAUAGUACAAUUCAUCAUUGCAUACACUUUGUCUAUGACUAUGUGUAAAUUCACGAACAUCAGUCAAAUUUACUUUCAAAAUAGACUACAUGUAUAACAAAAUGUACAUAAAUAAAUAAAGGCAAUAGUAAUAUACUACUGCUCAAUAGUCAUAGAUUCAAUCAAACAAAAUCAAAUCUGGGUAACAAAUCGACCCGAGGGAAAUACAUCAACUUUAGAUAAAAAUAACAUAACAACAGAAAAACCGUACUAUCCUGCGGCUACGGUAGUCUAUAACUUAAUAAGAUCAAAAUAACGUAACAACAGAAACACUGGACUAUCCUACGACUAAGGUAGUCUAUAAUUGGUCAUCAUGUUAGUUCAUUCAGACUUUGUUAUUGUAUUCAGGAAACCUUUGCAGUGACGUCACUGCGCUAAUACCAGUCAGGGAUAUAACUCUAUAGGGUUAUUACAGGAAAAUAACAUACAUUUGUUAUUGUGGACUAAAAAAUCAAAGAACUGUGAUAACAUAUAUAUGUUACAUGUUUCAAAGGAACAAUACACAUCAUUAGUUUAGUUAAAAUGUAUAAAAGUUCUAUUGAUAUUACUUUUUUCUCUAUGAAAACUUAACUAUUUAAAGAUAUAACAGUUCAUAGUUUGUCAAUUUUGCAUAGUACACCUAUAUGUUAUUACAGAAAAAAUGUGCCUGUAAUAACUAAAGGGUGUAAUCACAGCUUCUCUUUUUCACUUCAAAGCAUUUGCUCAGACAUACAUCAUGGAGGCCCCUCAUGGGGGGUCCUAGUAAUCACAUAAUCACCAUUUUUUUGCCAAUAUAAUCACAUAAUCAUUAAAUAUUUGCUUAUCUUUAGUAAUCAAAUAAUCAUAAACUAAAAAUACAGUCCUAGGUAAUCAAAUAAUCAUGAAAUAUUUGGCUUAAUAAUCAAAUAAUCAUUAAAAAAACGGCCAAGUAAUCACAUAAUCAAAAACCCCAUGAGGGCCCUCAUCAUGCUUAAUUACAAUGUAGUUUAAUUUAUUGUAAGAAAUAAUGACCAGAGCAUGUAAUGAGGUUUUACGCAAAUUUCUCAGUAAUUCCCAAGUGUCUUAUAUAAUAAGUUACAUUCCUUUAAUAACUGAGCUUUGUUAUCACAGCUAAGUUUAUCCCUUAAUAGCCUUGACUUAUUGAUUUACCAUGGUCCAUCAAAAAUUUAUUAAUUUUAAUUUUAAAAAAUUAGUUAUCUAGACUAUGCAUUUAGUUUCUGCGCAAAGUCUCAACAGUUCCCUAGACCCCACUAUAAAUGAAAUAAUUUUACAAAUAACAAGCAUAUGUUAUUACAGAUUUAGAAAAUUUAACAGUCAAGUAACAAAUUCAAAAUUUUGUCAUAAAUUGUGAUUUUGUAGUUUUACUAAAAAUUUUAACACAUAGGUUUAGAUAAUAUCUUUUCAUUAGUAAAAUUGAAAAAAAUGAACUUUUGGCUUCUUUUAAGUAACAAGGUUGAUGCCUUUGAUGCUAUCGUUUAACUGUAAAUUCUACUUUAUUGGAAAAAAUGCUAUAAUGAUGGCUUAACUUAAUGAACUGAUACUUUCCAGAUUUUUCCCAGCAGUGGGAGUAUUUUUCCUGUAAAGUUCAAGGUUUCAUCUUUUAGAUUAUGUAAUAAAAUUCUACUGUUCGCGAUAAAAAUUUCACUGUUCAGGGGUGUUGAAAUUAGUGGAGGUUAUUAGAAUAAUGAUACUUAAAAAAAGUGAUUUUUUGGAAGGAAAUUGAGGUAUGAUACAUAAACAAUUGAUUUUUAUGUCAAUAUCGUAGAUUCGGUACAAGGUCAUCACCUCACAUGACCUGGUCAUCCUAGACAACACAGAUGUUGGCCCUGAUAAUUUUAGCAACAUAAUUAGUCCCUGGAUCAUUAGUUUAGAUUUAAAAUACAAUAAUUAAAUCACUUAGUCUAGUGAUAGAUUUGUACUACAUGUACUUAAAUAGGUGAUUAUUAAAGAAAGACAACUCUUACUUUCAACCUUUAUGAACAUAAUGUUACUUGAAUCAGUGAUUUAGAAAAUCACUCAUUUAAGUAAGUCCCCUGACUGUUUAAGAUGAAAGUAUCUGUAAUAACACACGCAAGUUAUUUCCUGGAAUAACCCUAUAGAGUUAUAUCUCUGACUGAAUACCAGCAUACAAAAUAAGUGCAGAAUACGUUUUUUUUUUACUCUUCUUAGACUUCUUAUUAAAAAAAAUGUUUCUAAAGUAUUGUUCAAAAGUGCCAAAUUUUAAUAGCCAGGUAUCAAUCAGUCCAUCGCGAUAGUUUAUUUAAGUCACUUUGUAAUUGAGUUUUAUCCUCUUUCUGACUAAUUUUGUUAAAAAUUUUAGUAUUAUCUGCAAAAAGGUAUACGUUGUAAUCGACCAGGUUUGGUACAAUGUAGGUCAUUUAAAAAAAAAAUCUUUUCUUUUUGUAUUAAAAGUUUUUGAAGAUCUCAUGGAAGAAAAACAUGUCAUUGUUUGAUGUGUUACCUUCAUUAAAUAAAGAAUUUUAUUUAUUUAUUUAUUAUGAUUAUCGCACAAAUUAAUCAAGUUAAAAGACCUUACUUGAAUAUCUUUUUUCAUAAUUAGAUUUCGUAUUUUGUCUUAAAUUCUUUUGAAAAAUCUUGUUAAUCCUUAAUAAUUUAUCUUUCAGACAUAAUUUAUAGAAUCAUUUUAUGUAGUGUAGAUCAAAAGUUAUCAUGAUACAUAAUAUAGUUUUGUUUGUUCAGGUAUAUUCAUUGUAAUGUAUAUAUCAUAGAAGUUCUUAAAGCUAAUUCAUAUAAUUAGAGGUGAAUGUUUAAUGUUGAUGUUGAAAAUUCAGUCAAUUUUUAUACGCAUACAAAUGUCCGGUGUCCGUCUGUCUGUCCGUCCGUCUGUCUGGCGUAAACAUGUCGCACCGUAACUUGAGAAUGACUUAUCCAAAUUUCAUGAAACUUAAUAUAGUUGUUUCUUAUGAUGGUCAAUACUGUGUAUACUUUUGUGCAAUAUAAAUUUAAACUUUUGAGUUACGGCAUUUCAACUAAACAGGCGUGUGUUUUUUUUCACAUGUCGACCGUAUCUCAAAAACAUUCUUGAUAUUUGCUUAAACUUUACACACUUCAUUUUUUAUAUUUUAAAUCUUAUACUCUUAGGUGUGAUUAAAAUUUCAUUUGACUACUUGAGUAUUUUAAAAAGGGGAGUUUUUUCACAGUCACGCUGCAUCUCAAAAACAAUUUAUGAUUAUGUUGCUUUAAAUCUUUAACCACUUUAUCUUUUUGGUGAUGAUCAAAAGUCAUUUUGAUUAUUGAUAUUUUGUAAAAAGGGGUGCGGUUUUUUACAUGUUGUGCUGUAUCUCAAAAAUUAUUUAGGAUAUUACUUUAAACUUUACACACUUCUUGUUUAUAUCAAUCUAGAGUCUAAAUACUUUUUUUAUACUCAAAUUUAUUUUUGAGUUAUUUAAUUUUGUAAAAAAGGAUUUUUUUGUUUUACAUGUCACCCGUAUCCCAAAAACAUUAUGAUUAUUGCUUGAAACUGUACACACUUCUUUGUUAUAUUAAUCUAAAGAUCUGUAUACUUUUUGGUUUGAUUCAAAAUUUUAUUUUAGUGAUAUUCAGUUUUUUGUAAAAAAUAAACAGGGUGGGGGGGUUCACAUGUCUCAAAAACAAUAAAUGGCUAUUGCUUAAAACUUUCUCAGAAACUAUUUAUGAUUAUUGCAUAAAACUUCCACACAAGACGUCAGGCGUAUCAUGCGCUCAUGGCGCAGCUGUUUAUUACAUCAAGUUAAAAUACAUUUGUAAAUCUAUUUUGUAUUUCAGGCACAAUGUUGCUUUUGGAAGGCAUCAUGUGGCCUUUGCUGUUUUUGCCUGCCACCAAUAAAUGAAUCAACAACUACACGUAUUAUGUAUACCAUCUUUUUUGUUAUUGGUUUUCUGGUUGCCUGUUUUAUGCUGUCACCAAAUUUUGAAAAUGCUAUUAUGGAAAAUGUAAGUACAAAUUAUUAUAAUUCUAGAUGUACAUGUACUACAUUGUAGGAAUCCAGGUGUGAUCACCACACUCUAAAAGUAAAUUGCAAAUGCAAAUUAAUCCUGAAAAGGACUUAGGUUUAUAUUUUCAUGCACACAAUAUUUAUAUUCAUAUCUAGUCAUGACAGAACUGCAGUUAUUUUCAAAAUUUGAUUUAUAAUGCAGCUAAACGUAUAAUACAUGAUUUUGAAAAGUAUUAUGUUAAAAGUUCUUUUUUGGAGGGAACCAUAAUUUAAUGUCAAGACAAAAACAGCUAUUUCAUUGAUAUAUCGGUAAUUUCCUUGUAUUUCAUGAUAUUUCAUAUAAAUGUUCAUCUAUUUCACAUCCUUUAUUUUCAAAUCUAUAAAUUACAGGUAGAAAUUUGAAAAGAAAAUAAACAGGAAAAUCCAGAAAUAUUUAGGAUAUGUCGAUAAUUCACCUUGCUAUCCUGAUCAUAUCAUUGUUGAAUUACCAAUAUUUUUAUAUGGUUAUUAGCUACAACAAAUUUGAAUUAUGUAUAACAUUUUAAUUUCAAUUCACUCCUCAGUCCUGACAGUUGGUUUAUAUUUGUAGACAUCAUAUAUAUGCAUGGUAAUUUCAAUCCAAUCCUGAUAUUUGGUUACUUAAUUAUAAGGUAUUUUUUUGGUCAUGUUUAUAGAUACCAGGAUUCAAUGAGACAUGUUUGGAGUUAAAUGCUGGAGCCAACUGUGGCAGGUUAACCGGUUAUAAAGCAGUAUAUAGACUGUGUUUUGGAAUGGUUGUGUACAGCUUUAUCAUGUUUAUCACGACACUUUGUGUAUCAUCCAGUGCUCAGUGCAGAGGAGCGUGGCAUAAUGGGUAAUACAUUCUUAUAUAGCUUUAAAACAUAUAUUCAUAAAUGGAGAUUUGAUAUUUUUUUUUUAUGAGGCCUUUGCUUAUAAGUUAUAACAAAUUUCACCGAAUAAUAUUGUAUGCAUACCCAUUUACAAAUAAUAAGACAUUACAAAAGUAUAAUGCUUGUAAACAUGGUAAAAGUUACGUCUCUUUAAAAUUCUAAUUAUCUACAUUUUUUCCCUGACUUUAAGUUUGGAAAAAUUAAUAUAAGAGCUUGACUUAUUGGAUAGAUAUUUGUAAACUGUCAAUAACCAUGUGUUGUUUUAUGGAAAGCUUUUGGAUUUGUUUUUGUUCUUGAGUCUCUGUCUUAUUGUCAUAUAAAAAUGUUUUAAUUAAAGAUUUUGGUUGUGGAAGUUAUUACUGUUGAUUGGUUGCUGUGCCGGAGGAUUUUUUGUGCCAUCAGAAUACAGUAUAUGUAAGUACCACAGCUGUAAACAAAGUCUCAUUUCAUCAGAAUACAGUUUGUAAGUAACACAAGCUGUAACAUCAGUAAACAAAAAGUCUCAUUUAAGUUAUCUGCUAAAGAUCAUAUGCCAUUUUUCAUCUGCAGGGUUAAUGAUUAAUUUAUUUGCCAUGAGUUCUUCAAUUAAAAUUAAAAAUCUAUAUCCUGUUCAACUUCUUGUCUAGAAAAACAAAUGAGAAAUAAAGAAGCAAGUUGUUAUUUUGAUGUAGAUUAUUUUCAAGUGUUUAUUUAUUAAUGUCAUGAUCAUUUCUCUGAUUGAGCAGUACUUUUACUAUACAUGCUAUAUGUGUAUAUAUCAUUUUUGAAACAUAAUAUUUUUUUUCAUGAAAAGGUAUAUCAUGUAUUAUGAAGAAUUUAAGAAGAAAAAAUGAUAUAAAAUAUUUGCCUGUUAACUUUCCCUCUUUCCUUCUUUAUAUGAUGGCAUCAACAUGAUCAAGUCAUUGCUUGUAUGUUUAAAGAUAAGAUUUAAGUUCUACAUAAAAAAGGAUAACAGAAAUUUCACAAAAUAUUUGACAAUACAGCAGAUCACACCAACUACCAGUAUAAUUUUUAAAAAACCCAAAGAAAACAAGGAACGAUACUGGAUCCAGAACUUGGUAGAGGCACCCUAUGUGGUGGGAUUUAACAGUUUUACAUAUCUACGAAUCUCCCUCUUUCCCUAUCAAAGAUCCAAAAGAAAACCACACUAUUCUGAAUAUGAUGUUGCUCACAUGAAUUGUACAUUUUGUACCUUUUGACAAAGUUUGAUAUAAUUAAAUACAUGUACGUUGUUCACCUUUUUUAUUAGUGAUUAACAUUGAUCUUUUCCACAGACUGGAUGUAUUUUGGUAUGGUCGGAGGGUUCAUCUUUAUUUUACUACAACUCAUUCUCCUGGUAGACUUUUCACACUCCUGG